rnacentral:lncRNA from 1 species
UACUAAUGUUCAAGCUAAGGAAAAAGUACCCUCUUUCUGACAUGCAAACUGAAGAUGGACCACAGGGAAGGUGGUACUAUGUACAAGCUGUUGCUCCUGGAAAAGAAGGCCUGGUCUCCAUCAGGUGGCGAGUGAUAAAAUCUAAACAUCACAUUCCUAAAAGGAUAUGCAAUAUCACAUUCAGCCUAGGCAACUGCAUUCCUCUCCUGGUCAGCUGAACUCUGCGGCAUGAUCUUAAGCUUUGGCUAUUUGAGAGGUGUGCAAAGUGUGACUGCCUCUGGAGUGAAGAGGAGGCCUCACCAGGGAAAUCCCAAGAAGUGCACCUCAGUAGUUCAGAAACCCUGUCUGCAGUUCCUCUUAUCAUGGGAGAAGUUCUGGACCGAAGUUUUCAAGCACUAUUUAUUGUAUAUAUUUUCAAGCAUCUGGUCAAAAAGAUUAUUACAAAAUUACACAUCUUUAUUUUGCAGUGUACAAGAUAAAACUAUUCAUAGUACAUGAGUGAUAUAAUUUUUGUUUUUAUUUAGAAGGAUUUUAAUAAUGGAGUUUGUGGUUCUAUAUUAGACUUCAUCCAUAUAUGAAG